rnacentral:rRNA from 1 species
GAUGAACGCUGGCGGCGUGCCUAAUACAUGCAAGUCGAGCGAACAGACGAGGAGCUUGCUCCUCUGACGUUAGCGGCGGACGGGUGAGUAACACGUGGAUAACCUACCUAUAAGACUGGGAUAACUUCGGGAAACCGGAACUAAUACCGGAUAAUAUAUUGAACCGCAUGGUUCAAUAGUGAAAGACGGUUUUGCUGUCACUUAUAGAUGGAUCCGCUCCGCAUUAGCUAGUUGGUAAGGUAACGGCUUACCAAGGCAACGAUGCGUAGCCGACCUGAGAGGGUGAUCGGCCACACUGGAACUGAGACACGGUCCAGACUCCUACGGGAGGCAGCAGUAGGGAAUCUUCCGCAAUGGGCGAAAGCCUGACGGAGCAACGCCGCGUGAGUGAUGAAGGUCUUCGGAUCGUAAAACUCUGUUAUUAGGGAAGAACAAAUGUGUAAGUAACUAUGCACGUCUUGACGGUACCUAAUCAGAAAGCCACGGCUAACUACGUG